GCGCUGGAGAUCCGAUGGGAAGAGGAUGAGGGAUGCUGGGACGUUGGGAGAUCGCAUGGACUCAUGCGGAUGUGGGAAGAAAUCUGGGAAUGAUAUUGUUUUGCUGGGAAGGAUGACGUGGGUGCGAGAUAAAUGGUUGAAAUAACUUGCGGUUGGAGUUGUGGUACUUGGAGCAUGGGAGAAGAACGUGAACUAGGGAUAGCCAUGUGUUGAAGAGGAAAUUGAGAAGAUCUGAUUCACGGGGUGCGUGUCAUUCGGGUUCAGGGGUCAUCCCAGAUGAAUUUGAUUCGACCUGCAUACAUUAGAUGGACCAAUAUAAUCAAGCAAAAAUCGAAUUAUUUUUAAUAAUGCAAUGAUGAAGAUAAUUCAAUUUUUUAGUUGAAUUUACAAAAAUAUGUGAAUUAAAAUAAUGAUAAGUGCUAUGAAUAAGAUAUUAAUUUAUGCAUUAUUUAGCACUUAUCAGUA
rnacentral:lncRNA from 1 species